UGAAGAUUAGAUUGAGGAGAUAUGCCGUCUUUCAUAUGAGCAAAAUUAGAAGAAAACCCAGUAGUUGGAAGGGAAGACAAUGAGGGAUUACGGUGAGGAAGAGACAUUUCAAAUGUGAAAGAUCCAUCCUUUAAAAUUCGUAAUUCUUCUUCUAACUGUCUUACUUUCUGCCUUAAUUGAUCAUUCUCCAAGGUAGUCGAAGAAUGUAGCUCUUUCAACGUAACCACUUGAGUUUCCAAUGC